AUCGACCGCGCUCCUCAAUCAGAGCUUUUCUGACAGCUUGCUUCUCGGUUUCUUCAAGCAGCAGGUACUUAUCAUUGACAUCUUGUAAAGCACUGUCCAACUGGGGCUGAAUGUCACCCCUAUGAAGCAAGUUACCUUUCUUUGCUUUCUUCUGUAGCUUCAGUGUAUCAGAUGAUUUCUUUUUUAUCUCUUGGCGGGCCUUUUUGUACUCUAAAAAACCACAUAGUCUCUAUUACCAACACACUCAAUGUCAAAAUGAAUGUUUUUUCACAGAAAAGCCUCUGUUUAAAGACAUUAAACUACAAAUUUUAGGAAGACAGUUACUAUUAAUCAAAGCAACUCAGAAUCUGCAUUUCGUAGUGCCUAUACGUUUGGCUUAAUAUAACAUUCUAGGGUGUGAGCACAUUCACAUACCAAAAUCUUUCCCAAAUAAACAAAGCCUUUACAGAAAUAACAGCUGAGAACACAGUACAAAAUUAGAGUGCUUUUUGUUUGAGACUCAUCGACUCUCAGGAAUGGAAAACAGAGAUGACAGGUUUCUCAAAACAUCUGUGUUCAAAAACAAGUAUCCAGAAAUGGCAAAGCAGAGAAUACCCUGUGAUCCUUCUCCAGCAUGAGAGUCAGGCAGAGGGUGCUAAACUUUGCCCAAGGAACGGUCCCUUUGCCAGCUCUUUCUGAUGAAGUAGAGCACACUGCAGUUGUCCCCAUUUUCAGAUAAGCUGCCAAUCCCGGGAGAAUUAAAAUCCCGGAAUCAAACAUUACACCUCUAGUCCAGGCACACUGAAGGUACCAGAUACGAAAGCUGAUACUUAAAAAAAAAUAAAAUAAAAGAUAAAAGGCAUGUAUGCAUGUAUAUACACAUACACAUACACUCUAACAAAGGAGGGCAAUGUUAUUACUCUUCUAUAGAUGGAAAAA